CAAGGAAUAGUUUAAGUAAAAUUUCACCUUUGGGUGUUGAUGGGGAACCUAGAGCUUCUUCCUUGAU
rnacentral:tRNA from 1 species